AGUGAACGCUGGCGGUAGGCCUAACACAUGCAAGUCGAACGGCAGCACAGUAAGAGCUUGCUCUUACGGGUGGCGAGUGGCGGACGGGUGAGGAAUACAUCGGAAUCUACUUUUUCGUGGGGGAUAACGUAGGGAAACUUACGCUAAUACCGCAUACGACCUACGGGUGAAAGCAGGGGAUCUUCGGACCUUGCGCGAUUGAAUGAGCCGAUGUCGGAUUAGCUAGUUGGCGGGGUAAAGGCCCACCAAGGCGACGAUCCGAAGCUGGUCUGAGAGGAUGAUCAGCCACACUGGAACUGAGACACGGUCCAGACUCCUACGGGAGGCAGCAGUGGGGAAUAUUGGACAAUGGGCGCAAGCCUGAUCCAGCCAUACCGCGUGAGUGAAGAAGGCCUUCGGGUUGUAAAGCCCUUUUGUUGGGAAAGAAAAGCAGCAGGUUAAUACCCCGCUGUUCUGACGGUACCCAAAGAAUAAGCACCGGCUAACUUCGUG
rnacentral:rRNA from 1 species